GACGAACGCUGGCGGCGUGCUUAACACAUGCAAGUCGAACGGUGAACUCCGCUUGCGGGGGGAUCAGUGGCGAACGGGUGAGUAACACGUGGGCAACCUGCCCUCAGCUCUGGGAUAACUCCAAGAAAUUGGGGCUAAUACCGGAUAUGACCGCUGACCGCAUGGUCUGGUGGUGGAAAGAUUUAUCGGCUGGGGAUGGGCCCGCGGCCUAUCAGCUUGUUGGUGGGGUAGUGGCCUACCAAGGCGACGACGGGUAGCCGGCCUGAGAGGGUGACCGGCCACACUGGGACUGAGACACGGCCCAGACCCCGACGGGGGGCAGGGGGGGGGAAUAUUGGGCAAGGGGCGAAAGCCGGACGCAGGGACGCCGGGUGGGGGAUGACGGCCUUCGGGUUGUAAACCUCUUUCAGCAGGGACGAAGGGAAAGUGACGGUACCUGCAGAAGAAGCACCGGCCAACUACGU
rnacentral:rRNA from 1 species